rnacentral:tRNA from 1 species
GCGGGGGUUGCCAAGUCUGGUCAAAGGCGAUAGACUCAAGAUCUAUUCUCGUAGGAGUUCGCGGGUUCAAAUCCUGCCCCCCGCA